AUUUAAACUACAUUUUAAUUUAUUUUUUUAAUAAACUAAUGUGAACCCACAGAAACAGGAUUUAUAUGUUUAUUCUCCCUGUCAACAGAACUAUAGUCAAAGGAAUAUGUAAGCUUUACAAAAAACUAUAAAAUAUAAAACUUUGAAAUAAUAGCAAAAAUGACUAAGAUCUGAUUUUCUAUGAAAAUGCACAUUACAAAAAUCCUGAAGGGCUUUAACAAAUUAAUUUUUCUAGAUGGCAAAGAAUAUGCAGGGAGAAUACUAGUUGUACACAGAACCAAAGUCUAUGAAUACUCUGGAGUUGAGUGUGGAAUAUUUAGAGACUUCAAAUUACUUACUCUCUCUCUGAUACAAUCUGUAAGAAAUAUCAAACAGUUUGCAUAUUCUGAGGUAAGUACCAUUCAAGUGUUUUUAAUCUACAAGAUUUAGAUGUUCACUUUUUAAAAAAACCUGAUAAAACUAUUACACACACAAUAAUAACCAAAAUUCAAUUCCUGACUACCCUACCUAAUCAAACAACUCACUUCCAAAGUUCAAACUAUAACAAUGUUGUUCUUGUAUAAGGUGUUUUUACACCUAAUGAAUUCUGUAGUUAUCCAAUAAGGUCUUAAACCUACACUGAGAGUAUGACUAAAUUGUUUAAGGGGUAAUGAAAAGUAUUACUGUGUAAGCAUUAAUAGAUAUAUUAGUACAAUAGACAAGGAAGCAAUCUAAAUGUCCAUCAACAGAAGAAUGGAUAAAGAAGAUGUGGUAUGUAUAUACAAUGGAAUAUCACUCAGCCAUUAAAAAGAACAAAAUUAUGUCAUUUACAGCUACAUGGAUAUACCUAGAGAUUAUCAUACUAAGUGAAGACAGACAAAAACAAGUAUGAGAUCAUUAAUAUGUGCAAGCUAAUAAAAUAUGAUACAACUUCUUUACAAAACAGACUCAAAGAUUUCAAACCAGGAGUUCCCUGGUGGUUCAGCAGGUUAAGAAUACAACUCUGUCACUGCUGUGGCUCUGGUUCGGUUCCUAGUCUGGGAACUUCCACAUGCUCAGGGCAUGGCCAAAAAAAAAGUCUCCUCCAAGAUUUUGAAAUCAAAGGAGAAACUAUGAGUGGGGAAGGAUAAAUUAGGAAGUUGCAAUUAACAUAUACACACUAAAUAUAUAAAGUAGAUAAGUAACAAGGACCUACUACAUACCAAAGGGAAAUCUACUAAAUACUCCUUAAGAACUUACAUGGGAAAAGAAUCUGAAAAAGAAUGGAUGUAUUUACAUGUAUAACAGAUUCCUUUUGCUGUACACCUAAAAUAAUCCAAUUGCGUAAGUCAACUAUACCUGAAUUUUUUAAUUAAAAACCCAGAUACAUUAGAAUAAUAGUUAAGGGUUUAAUUUGGUUUGGCUUUCUAUAUUGUUCCAUUUUUUUUUCCAGAGUAUCAGUAGAGAAUCACACUACAGAAAGGCACAGCUUAAAAUGUUUUGUUCACAGAGAAAAAUGCACAUGCCUCCUCUAGCUACCAUUAAACAUCUAUCUACCACUACCCUACUCAUAUUUGGAGACACUAAAAACCAAAUACAAACCCAAUCUGCUUCAAGACUACAACUAGUUUUAGAACUACUAUUGAAGGUUACCCAUGAUCUAGUCCAAGAUUACUUUACAAACUGGAAAACAGGAAGGUUGGAUGGCUUCUUAAAGGAUACUCAAUUAAUGACAAAGUAAACUUAGAACUCAACUAUAUUUCCACUAAGCCAGUUUCUUCCCAACUUAAAUAUCAAAUCACAUUUGAUCUGCCAUAUGAAAAUUAAAAAAUAAAUUCAUUAAGAAACAUGAGUGAGAAACCCAGGGUUUAGUAACAGCAAAAGAGAAAAGGGACAGAAAUACAUAACCACUGAUCUGUUCGUUUUGCUGAAUGUGAGGUGGGGAUAUUAAAAACAUCCAAAUGUUAGGUAGGAGAGGAUAGGGACUCUGACCCAGGUGACUCCCAACAGGCCAUUUAUUGUUAUCAAAAACAGGACACCUGCAAUCAAACAAUGAAGACCCAUACAGAUACCAGAGGAAUGCUUUUCAGAGCAUCUACCUAUAACCUUUUUUUCUGUGCAAAUAAGGCAUCCUCAUGGAAACCAACCAGAGGAUCCAAAUGUACCCCCUAAGCAAGCAAGGUGGUGGUGGGGGUGGGACAGGAAAUUAGUGGGCGUGGGGCAAGAGAAUAGGGGUCCCCAAACAGGUCUGUGAUAUAGGAAUAUAAGGAGAGACCCAGCUGCAGUCAGUUCUAGUUCCUACCCAGGGCGGCCUCUCUCUCUGAGGGCUUGAAUAAAGCUUGCCGUACACUCUACCUGACUUCUCAUAUUAAUAUUUUACUCUAACUCCAAGUGCCAUUAUUGUCAACUAGGCAGGUAUUCCUGCUAGGAGAAAACAUCUGUCAUAGUACAAGUUGAAAAAAAAGGUCACUCAAAGGGAUAGAAUAUAGGUCCUGCUAUAAAUAUCUAUAUUCCACUUAAGAUGCUAGACACAU
rnacentral:lncRNA from 1 species